rnacentral:rRNA from 1 species
UGGGGAAUAUUGGACAAUGGGGGCAACCCUGAUCCAGCAAUGCCGCGUGUGUGAAGAAGGCCUUCGGGUUGUAAAGCACUUUAGGUUGGGAAGAAGACUUAUAUUUUAAGAGAUAAUAAGUUUGACGGUACCGACAGAAUAAGCACCGGCUAACUCUGUGCCAGCAGCCGCGGUAAUACAGAGGGUGCGAGCGUUAAUCGGAAUUACUGGGCGUAAAGGGCGCGUAGGUGGGUGUUUAAGAUUGAGGUG